AGGGGUAUAGUUCAGUGGUAGAACAUCGGUCUCCAAAACCGAGUGUCGUGGGUUCAAAUCCUGCUGCCCCUGCCA
rnacentral:tRNA from 1 species